GGUGAAGCUGGAGAUAUUUCGGAUGAUAAUCUACCUCACUUUCCCUGUGGCUAUGUUCUGGGUUUCCAAUCAGGCCGAGUGGUUUGAGGACGAUGUCAUACAGCGCAAGCCGACCCUGCCCUGAUGUGGGGCUCUGGAGGCCUUUGGCUCGUGUCCCAUUUGUGACUUUUCCUUACAGAGGGAGCUGUGGCCACCUGAGAAGCUUCAAGAGAUAGAGGAAUUCAAAGAGAGGUUACGGAAGCGGCGGGAGGAGAAGCUCCUUCGCGACGCCCAGCAGAACUCCUGAGGCCUCCAAGUGGGAGUCCUAGCCCCUCCCCUGAUGAAAUAUACAUAUACUC
rnacentral:lncRNA from 1 species